rnacentral:rRNA from 1 species
GAUGAACGCUGGCGGCGUGCCUAAUACAUGCAAGUCGAGCGAACAGACGAGGAGCUUGCUCCACUGACGUUAGCGGCGGACGGGUGAGUAACACGUGGAUAACCUACCUAUAAGACUGGGAUAACUUCGGGAAACCGGAGCUAAUACCGGAUAAUAUAUUGAACCGCAUGGUUCAAUAGUGAAAGACGGUUUUGCUGUCACUUAUAGAUGGAUCCGCGCCGCAUUAGCUAGUUGGUAAGGUAACGGCUUACCAAGGCGACGAUGCGUAGCCGACCUGAGAGGGUGAUCGGCCACACUGGAACUGAGACACGGUCCAGACUCCUACGGGAGGCAGCAGUAGGGAAUCUUCCGCAAUGGGCGAAAGCCUGACGGAGCAACGCCGCGUGAGUGAUGAAGGUCUUCGGAUCGUAAAACUCUGUUAUUAGGGAAGAACAAAUGUGUAAGUAACUAUGCACGUCUUGACGGUACCUAAUCAGAAAGCCACGGCUAACUACGUG